rnacentral:rRNA from 1 species
ACCAUGUGACCUACCCAUGAGCAGGUUGAAGGUGCGGUAAGACGCACUGGAGGACCAACCAGGGCACGUUGAAAAGUGCUUGGAUGACUUGUGGGUAGCGGAGAAAUUCCAAACGAACUUGGAGAUAGCUGGUUCUCUCCGAAAUAGCUUUAGGGCUAGCGUCGACAUUAGAGAUUCUUGGAGGUAGAGCACUGUUUGGGUGAGGGGUCCAUCCCGGAUUACCAAUCUCAGAUAAACUCCGAAUGCCAAUGAAUUAUGGUCGGCAGUCAGACUGCGAGUGCUAAGAUCCGUAGUCGAAAGGGAAACAGCCCAGACCACCAGCUAAGGUCCCAAAAUAAUUGUUAAGUGGAAAAGGAUGUGGGGUUGCACAGACAACUAGGAUGUUAGCUUAGAAGCAGCUAUUCAUUCAAAGAGUGCGUAAUAGCUCACUAGUCGAGUGACCCUGCGCCGAAAAUGUACCGGGGCUAAAACAAUUUACCGAAGCUGUGGAUACCUUUAUAGGUAUGGUAGGAGAGCGUUCUAUGUGUGAUGAAGGUAUACCGUGAGGAGUGCUGGAACGCAUAGAAGUGAGAAUGCCGGUAUGAGUAGCGAAAGACAGGUGAGAAUCCUGUCCACCGUAAGACUAAGGUUUCCCAGGGAAGGCUCGUCCGCCCUGGGUUAGUCGGGACCUAAGGAGAGACCGAAAGGUGUAUCCGAUGGACAACAGGUUGAUAUUCCUGUACUAGAGUAUGUAGUGAUGGAGGGACGCAGUAGGCUAACUAAAGCAGACGAUUGGAAGAGUCUGUCUAAGCAGUGAGGUGUGAUAUGAGUCAAAUGCUUAUAUCUGUAACAUUGAGCUGUGAUGGGGAGCGAAGUUUAGUAGCGAAGUUAGUGACGUCACACUGCCAAGAAAAGCUUCUAGCGUUUAAACAUACUCUACCCGUACCGCAAACCGACACAGGUAGUCGAGGCGAGUAGCCUCAGGUGAGCGAGAGAACUCUCGUUAAGGAACUCGGCAAAAUGACCCCGUAACUUCGGGAGAAGGGGUGCUGACUUUAAGUCAGCCGCAGUGAAUAGGCCCAAGCAACUGGUUUAUCAAAAACACAGCUCUCUGCUAAAUCGUAAGAUGAUGUAUAGGGGGUGACGCCUGCCCGGUGCUGGAAGGUUAAGAGGAGUGCUUAGCGUAAGCGAAGGUAUGAAUUGAAGCCCCAGUAAACGGCGGCCGUAACUAUAAACGGUCCUAAGGUAGCGAAAUUCCUUGUCGGGUAAGUUCCGACCCGCACGAAAGGCGUAAUGAUUUGGGCACUGUCUCAACGAGAGACUCGGUGAAAUUUUAGUACCUGUGAAGAUGCAGGUUACCCGCGACAGGACGGAAAGACCCCAUGGAGCUUUACUGCAGUUUGAUAUUGAGUGUCUGUACCACAUGUACAGGAUAGGUAGGAGUCUAAGAGAUCGGGACGCCAGUUUCGAAGGAGACGCUGGUUGGGAUACUACCCUUGUGUUAUGGCCACUCUAACCCAGAUAGGUGAUCCCUAUCGGAGACAGUGUCUGACGGGCAGUUUGACUGGGGCGGUCGCCUCCUAAAAGGUAACGGAGGCGCCCAAAGGUUCCCUCAGAAUGGUUGGAAAUCAUUCGCAGAGUGUAAAGGUAUAAGGGAGCUUGACUGCGAGAGCUACAACUCGAGCAGGGACGAAAGUCGGGCUUAGUGAUCCGGUGGUUCCGUAUGGAAGGGCCAUCGCUCAACGGAUAAAAGCUACCCUGGGGAUAACAGGCUUAUCUCCCCCAAGAGUUCACAUCGACGGGGAGGUUUGGCACCUCGAUGUCGGCUCGUCGCAUCCUGGGGCUGUAGUCGGUCCCAAGGGUUGGGCUGUUCGCCCAUUAAAGCGGCACGCGAGCUGGGUUCAGAACGUCGUGAGACAGUUCGGUCCCUAUCCGUCGCGGGCGUAGGAAAUUUGAGAGGAUCUGCUCCUAGUACGAGAGGACCAGAGUGGACUUACCGCUGGUGUACCAGUUGUCUUGCCAAAGGCAUCGCUGGGUAGCUAUGUAGGGAAGGGAUAAACGCUGAAAGCAUCUAAGUGUGAAACCCACCUCAAGAUGAGAUUUCCCAUGAUUAUAUAUCAGUAAGAGCCCUGAGAGAUGAUCAGGUAGAUAGGUUAGAAGUGGAAGUGUGGCGACACAUGUAGCGGACUAAUACUAAUAGCUCGAGGACUUAUCCAAA